rnacentral:rRNA from 1 species
AUUGAACGCUGGCGGCAUGCCUUACACAUGCAAGUCGAACGGCAGCACGGGAGCAAUCCUGGUGGCGAGUGGCGAACGGGUGAGUAAUAUAUCGGAACGUGCCCAGUCGUGGGGAUAACGUAGCGAAAGCUACGCUAAUACCGCAUACGAUCUACGGAUGAAAGCGGGGGAUCGCAAGACCUCGCGCGAUUGGAGCGGCCGAUAUCAGAUUAGGUAGUUGGUGAGGUAAAGGCUCACCAAGCCGACGAUCUGUAGCUGGUCUGAGAGGACGACCAGCCACACUGGGACUGAGACACGGCCCAGACUCCUACGGGAGGCAGCAGUGGGGAAUAUUGGACAAUGGGCGAAAGCCUGAUCCAGCAAUGCCGCGUGAGUGAUGAAGGCCUUAGGGUUGUAAAGCGUCUUUUACCCGUAGAUGAUAAUGACAGUAUCGGGAGAAUAAGCUCCGGCUAACUCCGUGCCAGCAGCCGCGG